GUAGGUUUAGUUAAAUUAAUAAUAAUAGCUUGUCGUGCUUUAGAUAUUCCGUUGAAUAGCCUACU
rnacentral:tRNA from 1 species